rnacentral:misc_RNA from 1 species
GAUGAAGAACGUCGCGAAAUGCGAUACUUGGUGUGAAUUGCAGAAUCCCGUGAACCAUCGAGUCUUUGAACGCAAGUUGCGCCCGAAGCCACUAGGCCGAGGGCACGCCUGCCUGGGCGUCGCACGCCGUUGCCCCCCCAUCUACUCCUUCGGGAUUGCGGGGGGGCGGAUGAUGGCCUCCCGUGCGCCUAGCCGCGCGGUUGGCAUAAAUACCAAGUCCUCGGCGACGCACGCCACGACAAUCGGUGGUUGCGAAACCUCGGUUGCCCGUCGUGUGCGUUCGUCGCGCAUCGAGGGCUCGAAAAAAUGCUCGGCUCCGGCUGGGCUUUCAACGCGACCCCAGGUCAGGCGGGGUUACCCGCUGAAUUUAAGCAUAUCAAUAAGCGGAGGA